UUUCUUCACCAUUCACGCUUCUAUCAGGCAGCUUUGAACAAUGCUUUGUCUGUCUUUAAAUCAGGGUUUUGUGUAGUGUGGAGAUAAUUUUGGGAUGCUGCUUCUUUUAAAUCAAAACCUGCUGUCAAAAGCAAUUCAUAAACUAUUGCCAUUCCCUUCCAAAAUAUCCAAGGUUUGCCUAUCGCUGGCAGGGAAAGCCAAAGUCUCUCCACCUUUCUCAAACAUGGAAUCUAUUAAGUUGCAGCAAGCGUUUUCUGGCUGUCUGAAGGAUAAUGCAUAUUAAAAGCAGACAUAGAGAUUCUACUUUUGUGUGCUGUUGGAAAUAAUGGAAGAAUAAGGGUCUCAUUGCACUUUUAUUUUUCAGAAAAAUAUUUUAUUUAUAAAUGUUUUAUUCCUUGGUGUACAGCUUCCUUCACGUGUAGAUUUAAAGGUAAAGUGAAUAAUCUUUUGGCACUAAAGGAGCAAAGUAUAAAAUUGUAUUACUAUUUCCAAACAGGUUUCCCAAACUAAGGAGGAUUUUAAAUUGACAUAUUAGUCAACAGUGUAAUAUAUGUCAGAUAAUUUAUUUUGUUAUAUUUAUAUUAAUGAUUGAAUUAGUUAUUUUCAACAUUUAUGAUAUUUUGAUUAAAUAUCUUUUCAUAAGCAACCUUUAUAUUGCUGUGCUUUAUAUGGCAUGGUAAACUGGGUUAAGAGAAACAGAAAAAGAUACAAGUCACCUUUAAGCCAUUUUUUGAGGUAUAAACUGAUCAUACUGGCAGCAACUGGAUCUAAUUCAAUUCGCCCUCUCAUACCUAGAAUAUCAAAAUCAACUGCGGGCAGCAGUUCCUUUUCCUAUUGCCCUAUAGUGCCCAAACUCUGGAAUAACCUACCUAACAUUGUUUGGGAGGCAGACACACUCUUUCAGUUUAAAUCUAGAUUAAAGACCCAUCUCUUUAACCUGGCUUACACAUAACACACUAACACAUUUCUAAUACUCAAACCCGUUAAAGGAUUUUUAAGCUGCAUUAAUUAGGUCAACCAGAACCGGGAAAACUUCCGAUAACACCCAAUGUACUUGCUACAUUGUUAGAAGAAUGGCAUCUACGCUAAUAUUAGUCUGUUUCUUUCUUAUUCUGAGGUCACCAUAGCCACCAGAUCCAGUCUGUAUCCAGAUCAGAUGGUCACUGUAGUCACCCGGAUCCAUUACGUAUCCAGCCCAGAUGGUGGAUCAGCACCUAGAAAGGACCUCUACAGCCCUGAAUGUCAGUGGAGACCAGGACAACUAGAUGAGCCUCAGAUCCCCUGUAAAGACCUUGUCUCAGACGGCCACCGGGACAAGACCACAGGAACCAGUUUUUUCUCCAUUCUGUCACCGAUGGAGUUUUGGUUCCUUGCUGCUGUCGCCUCUGGCUUGCUUAGUUGGGGACA
ensembl:lncRNA